AGAACAUCAAAUGCAGAAGAAAAUGUAAAAAAAUAAAUAAAUAAAAAAAGCGCCUGUUAUAAUUAGAGUUAACAAUGUGUGUAUGGAUGUUGGUGAUGUAUAGUCAAUCAUUCUCUACAUUUCCUGAUUCAGUAGGGUCUUGACAAACAAAUUACAAAAUUGGUAAUUUAUAGCACAAUGCAUUAAAGAUUUCCACUGCAUUAUAUUAGGUGUCCACCAGGCGUCUCCAAAGUGUUCAAAACCUCUCAAGAUACACAAGUAAAUCUGUCACUAUACAACAACAGUUUGUAAUAUUUUUGUUUGUUUGUGAUAAAAUAAAUUAAUGUCUAUGUCAGAGUAAUAUUAAUAUUUUUUUGAUGAAAUGACACACAAAAUCACACGUAUGCGCGCUGUGGGCGCACCUUUGUUUACCAGAGGCAUUUUGGUGACAGCUGUUAGGCAUGCCCCACCCCCAGCCAUUAGGAGACCAAUCAGGGCAAAUUACGUACCAGUGUUUUCGUCUAAGGGUGGACUAUUGGUUGAAAUAGGUGUCAAUCACUUUUGUGACCUUGGAGAAAGGCUAUGACCUGAUUUGAUUGGAUUGGAUUGAUCCAGCGCUCACGUUAUUGGUUCAAAAGACGAUCACUCAAGAAAAAUAGUGGUUUGUGGACCAAUAAAAAACACAGAAUCGACAAGAGGACAUCCUUAGCUUUGUAUUCACGUACAACUUUACGUGAAAACAUUACAUGUGUGGUCGCUAGGAGUUUGAGAAUAUGACGUUGCGGUUGCGCUGAAACUAAACGCAUGUUUGUGAGGAGAAGUGAGCAGGAGAAUAAAGGACUUUAUGGAUAUUUUACCUGCGGUUCAGUGCUGUAUUGUGGAUGCUGUGAUAGUAAGUCCCUGAUAGCAGACUACUCCGAUCCGGAUCCGUUUUACCUCCGGCAGAUCCGCGCUACAGUCAGGUCUGUUUAGUGGAUCUGGUCCGGCUUCACUCCGGGUUCGGGUUAUGAUUGUGACUCACGUUCAGAUCCGUUUUACUGACGGUAAAUCCGCAUAACAGUCCGUCUCAUUUCACGCCUUCCAUAUGACUUCCGCACGGAGUCAGAUACCAGAUGUGAGUUCAGUGUCAGUUCAGUGUCGUUUUGCGGAUCCGGGCCGCAUCGGCGGAGCGGCACAGGAGCGGGAGAAAUUCAAACUCAGCGCGAGGACCAACUGACAUCUGCUGAAUCUGCGCUUCAGGGCUGCUGAGGGCUGGGGACCUGCCAGAUAAGGUGUAAUCAUUUACCCAUCAAAUCACCUAACAAGGAUGAGCCUGGAUCCUAACAGUACUUGCACUGGGCAGUGACAUUAUACAUAGAGUAGUUAAGCAGGAUUUGGUAUCCGCAAAAUGGUUCGAGGUCCGCAGCCCUCGCCUCCCCCAGCACAGAGGAAAACUACCAAGGGCGGUACUCUCAUUAUAGGAGAUUCAAUUGUUAGACAUUUAAAAGUAUCUAAGAGUAAUGGCACAAUUUCAUGUCUUCCAGAUGCUUGCAUGCUGGUAGUCGGCAAGCGGCUCCCUGGGGCGCAUUGCCAAAGCAGGAACCCCGGCACCAUCGCCCUCCACGUGGGGAUGAGCUUUCGGGAGCGACCGGCCCCGUUCCACAGAGACAGGCUUCUCUCUGUGAACAUCGAGGCGGUGCUACGCUGAGACUGACUGUCCUCUACCCAGUCACACCAGCCAAGCUGCACUGUAGUGGUGUUAAGUGUCCAAGAAUGCUCUCAUCAGUGGAGGCACAGCUGGCUGCAAAAAACGUCUGUGUCUGCAUGUUUAUAUUAUGUGAAUUAAAAAUGGUUUUAUUAUUAAAAUAAUUGUAUUAAUGCCUGUUGAUUUAUAAAUUGUUUAAUUGAAAUCAAAUUUUAUUUAAGUAGCUUAAUUAAGUAUUGCAUUUAUAACUGAUGGUAUUUUAUUUAAUUAGCUUAAGUAUUGCAUUUAUAAGUGAUGGUAUUUUAUUUUAAUUAGCUUAAGUAUUGCAUUUAUAAGUGAUGGUAUUUUAUUUUAAUUAGCUUAAGUAUUGCAUUUAUAAGUGAUGGUAUUUUAUUGAAUUAGCUUAAUUAAUAUUGCAUUUAUAAGUGAUGAUAUUUUAUAUAAUUAGCUUAAUUAAGUAUUGCAUUUAUAAGUGAUGGUAUUUUAUUUUAAUUAGCUUAAGUAUUGCAUUUAUAAGUGAUGGUAUUUUAUUGAAUUAGCUUAAUUAAUAUUGCAUUUAUAAGUGAUGAUAUUUUAUAUAAUUAGCUUAAUUAAUAUUGCAUUUAUAAGUGAUGAUAUUUUAUAUAAUUAGCUUAAUUAAGUAUUGCAUUUAUAAGUGAUGGUAUUUUAUUUAAUUAGCUUAAUUAAGUAUUGCAUUUAUAACUGAUGGUACUUUCAUUAAUUAGCUUAAUUAAGUAUUGCAUAUAUAAGUUAUGGUAUUUUAUUUAAUUAGCUUAAUUAAGUAUUGCAUUUAUAAUUAUUGUAUUUCAUUUAGCUAACCUAAUUAAGGAUUGCAUUUACAACUAAUGUUUUUUUAUUAUAUUAUUUAAAUAUUGCAUUUGUAAUUUAAUGUACUGUAUUAAACUCUUUUAAUUUAUCAAUGUAAAAAAGAAGUCAAAUAGCUUAGUGCUCUUUCUUUACUACUUUUAUUUUGAAAUAUGUCAUUAUAAUCAUUAAUAAGUAGGCUGGGGAACGUGAAAAGGCCGUGGCUUGGCCGUAGCUAAUACGGAACUAAUCCGGGGCUGAUCCAGAUCUGGUCCAGAUCUGUAACGGACCUGUUCCAGCGAGUGUAACGGUAAGCGGAUCCGGCCCAUAUUCGGUCUAAAGGAACACCUGAAACGCUUGGUCUGGACUGGUGCUGGCCCAGUAUCUUUUUGACUCCGUAAAAAGGAUCCGUGACGGUUUUGGCCCGUUGUGCAUCUGGACCCCGGCCCAGAACCGUUUUACGGAUCCGGCGCGGAACUUGUGAUAGACUCGGCCCGGAUCCGGCCAGAAUGCUUUUUGCUAUCUGGGG